rnacentral:rRNA from 1 species
UACGUAGGGUGCAAGCGUUGUCCGGAAUUAUUGGGCGUAAAGAGCUCGUAGGCGGUUUGUCGCGUCUGCUGUGAAAUCUGGGGGCUCAACCCCCCAGCCUGCAGUGGGUACGGGCAGACUAGAGUGCGGUAGGGGAGAUUGGAAUUCCUGGUGUAGCGGUGGAAUGCGCAGAUAUCAGGAGGAACACCGAUGGCGAAGGCAGGUCUCUGGGCAGUAACUGACGCUGAGGCACGAAGGCCAGGGGAGCAAACGGG